UGGUCGCCUGGUCGACGUGGCGUGCCAGGUUGGUGUGGAUCCACCCCGGCGCGCAGGCGUUGGCGGCGAUGCCGUGUUCGGCCCACCGACGGCUGA
rnacentral:tRNA from 1 species